rnacentral:rRNA from 1 species
GAUGAACGCUGGCGGCGCGCCUAACACAUGCAAGUCGAACGGCACCCCUCCUCGGAGGGAAGCGAGUGGCGAACGGCUGAGUAACACGUGGAGAACCUGCCCCCUCCCCCGGGAUAGCCGCCCGAAAGGACGGGUAAUACCGGAUACCCCGGGGUGCCGCAUGGCACCCCGGCUAAAGCCCCGACGGGAGGGGAUGGCUCCGCGGCCCAUCAGGUAGACGGCGGGGUGACGGCCCACCGUGCCGACAACGGGUAGCCGGGUUGAGAGACCGACCGGCCAGAUGGGGACUGAGACACGGCCCAGACUCCUACGGGAGGGAGCAGUGGGGAAUCUUGCGCAAUGGGGGGAACCCUGACGCAGCGACGCCGCGUGCGGGACGGAGGCCUUCGGGUCGUAAACCGCUUUCAGCAGGGAAGAGUCAAGACUGUACCUGCAGAAGAAGCCCCGGCUAACUACGUG